UACGGAGGAUGCAAGCGUUAUCCGGAAUUAUUGGGCGUAAAGCGUCCGCAGGUGGCACUUCAAGUCUGUCGUCAAAGACCGGGGCUUAACCCAGGAAAGGCGAUGGAAACUGAAAGGCUAGAGAGAGGUAGGGGUAGAGGGAAUUCCCAGUGUAGCGGUGAAAUGCGUAGAGAUUGGGAAGAACAUCGGUGGCGAAAGCGCUCUACUGGACCUCAUCUGACACUCAGGGACGAAAGCUAGGGGAGCGAAUGGG
rnacentral:rRNA from 1 species